GCUCGUGUAGCUCAGUGGUUAGAGCUUCGUGCUUAUAGUAGCAUCUCAAUUUCUGGGAGCUUUUCUGUACAAAGUGGUCUUUCACACAGAUCGUUCAAAAGCAACGCGACCGUCGUGGGUUCAAACCCCACCUCGAGCA
rnacentral:tRNA from 1 species